rnacentral:lncRNA from 1 species
CUAACUUUUCCUUUAUUCCUUCCUUAUUCCUCCUUUUUCUCUUUUUAUUGCUUAUGCAGAUUGUGUGUGGUUUCUUUUAUUUUUUUCUUUUUCAUUUUUUUUCUCUUUUUCUUUCUUUUUUAUUUUAUCUUUCUUUAUAUUUUAUUCUUUUUACCAUACCCAACCCUACUUUCUAUUUCUCUUUUCCAGCCACUUUUUCAUACCCAAUUCUGGUUACGCACUCGUAUGAUAGCCACCCUCAAUUUGUGCGAUUUGCCUAACUUGAAGUGCAAAUAUCUAAGGGACCAAGGCCAAAACAAGUUUGUUGUAACUUAUUGGGAAGGUGA